rnacentral:misc_RNA from 1 species
AUCAAAACCCAUUGCUUCAAGCUGAAUAUCAGUGUGGAAGGAUGAGAGGCCAUCAAUAAUCAUCAUGAAUAAUACGAGCAUACACGGAAAAGAAUAUAAGAAUAUGUAAUGAUUAUAGUAUAUGAUAGUCAUCCAUAUUUUUAUGAUGCAAAAAGCUCAAAAGGUGAACUUAAUUCAGAACACAAAAAAUAACUAUAAAAUUCAAUUCUACCUCUGGACCACAACCUCAUGCCCAAAAGCAUCCCCAGCAAUUAGAAACCAACAUAAUUUAAGUCAACAAACAGCUGAGAAGUAAUCUGAUCUUCCCCCAUGUAACUUCUUCUAAAUAUGGUUUACAUGCACGAAGGAAUUAAUUUUAAAGAUAAGGAGAAACUUACACGUUCUAUUGCUUCACGUUCCAAUUUUAAAGAUAAGGAGAAACUUACACGUUCUAUUGCUUCACGUUCC